rnacentral:rRNA from 1 species
CCCUUAGAUGUUCUGGGCCGCACGCGCGCUACACUGAUGCAUGCAACGAGUUCUAUCCUUGGCCGGAAGGCCUGGGUAAUCUGUGAACGUGCAUCGUGAUAGGGAUAGAUUAUUGCAAUUAUUAAUCUUGAACGAGGAAUUCCUAGUAAACGCAAGUCAUCAGCUUGCAUUGAUUACGUCCCUGCCCUUUGUACACACCGCCCGUCGCACCUACCGAUCGAAGGUAAUGAUGAGCCCUCAGGAUUGUGGCCUCGUCGCGUCAGCGUCUUGGCUGCGAGAAUCUGUGCAAAUCCCUACCUUUAGAGGAAGGUGAAGGCGUAACA